GUGCUUGUUUCAACAGCACAUACACUAAAAUUGGAACGGUACAGAUGAGCAUGGCCCCUGAGCAAGCAGGACAUGCAAAUUCAUGAAGGAAAAAAAAAUCAG
ensembl:snRNA U6 U6 spliceosomal RNA